rnacentral:lncRNA from 1 species
CCCACAUGUCCCCCAGGGGCCCAGGCACCCCCAGGGGCCCAGGAGUCCCCAUACGUCCCCCAGGGGCCCAGGAGUCCCCCAGGGACCCAGGUGUCCCCAGGCACCCCCAGGGGCCCAGGCAUCCCCCAGGGGCCCAGGCGUCCCCAGGCAUCCCCCAGGGGCCCAGGAGUCCCCACACGUCCCCCAGGGGCCCAGGAGUCCCCCAGGGACCCAGGUGUCCCCCAGGGGCCCAGGAGUCCCCAUACGUCCCCCAGGGGCCCAGGAGUCCCCAAGCAACCCCCCCAGGGGCCCAGGCUUCCCCAGGCACCACCCAGGGGCCCAGGCAUCCCCCAGGGACCCAGGCGUCCCCAAGGAUCCCCCAGGGGCCCAGGAGUCCUCAAGGACCCCCCCCCUCAGGGGCCCAGGCAUCCCCCAGGCACCCCCCAAGGACCCAGGUGUCCCCCCAGGGACCCAGGCAUCCCCAUGGGGACCCCAAGCCGCCAUCAUGGAUCCCGGUGUCCCCCAGGGACCCCCCAUGGACCCAGGGACCCCCCCCAGGGCCCCAGGCGCCCCCUCCCCGCCCCCCCCACCUGGGGGCCCAGGCGUCCGGGCACCUUGAUGGUCUUGGUCUGCAGCUUGAGGCCGUUGAGGGUGCUGAUGGCCUUGUCGGCGUCGCCGGGGUCCACGUAGUUCACGAAGCCGUAGCCCAGGCUCUGCCCUGGGGGGGGGGCGGGGGGUCAGGGUGCUGCCUGGACCCCCCCCGGGGACCCCCAAGCACCCAUGGGACCCCUGGGACGCCCAGGGACCCCCAGCACCCACGGGGACCUCGUCCUGGCCCUCACCGGGCCCCGUCCCCAACCCCGUGGGUCCCGUCUCCUCCCUGCAGGUCCCCGGGGGUCCCGUCUCAUCCCUGUGGGUCCCAUCGAUGUCCCCAUGGGUCCCAUCCCAUCCCUGCAGGUCCCCUUGGGUCCCGUCCCCGUCCCCAUGGGUCCCUCCUGUCCCCGUGGGUCCCGUCCCCAUCUCCGUGGGUCCAUCGCGUCCCUGUGGGUCCUGUCCCCAUG